ensembl:lncRNA
CUUGAACUCAGGCUCGCACGAGCGUUAACUGUCCUGUGAACACACAUUUGGCUUUCCCACCAGUGACGGUGCAAGUCAAUAUUAUGUAGGCUACUUUAAUGCUGUUGUAGCAAUCUUUCUUUGCGGAAGCUUGACGUCAAUCUAUAUAUAAAUAUAUAAAAAAUAACCGACAACCGACACUCGUGACUUUUAUGCAUUCCACGUGUGUCGUUCAACUGGGAUACACACACAACUUUGAUCUCGUCUGGAGAAAAUGAAAACAUACAGAAUACACUUUGUCAUGUGGACUGUCCUGGGAUUAGCAGCAGUCUUCAUCUCUUCCUCGGCCCUCUCAGGUGUGAAAGGAAUUGUGAAACAGAAGGUCCUCCUGCAUUGCCCCUGCGUAAAUAGAAAUGUGAGAAAGACAAUUAUCUGGCAGCUAGAAGAGCAUACCAUCGUGCUCCGUCAUGAUGGAAGUAAUAACCACACAACCAUAGGGGAGAGAUAUGAAAACAGGGUCAGUCUCUUUCUAAAUGAAGAGAAGGACAACUGUUCGCUGCUCCUCUCAGGCAUCACUGUGGCAGACAACGGGACAUACAAAUGCUCCUUUACAGCCAACGCUUUUGUCUACGAAAAAGUAAUUCUACAUGUGGCUGCGAGCUACAGUGUCUGUAUGGACCUCGUCUCAGACCAGGCUUCGGUGAGUUCCGGAGGGGGAGAGGGGUCGGGGGUGUACCAGUGUAAAGCCUCUGGGGGCUAUCCAGAGGGCCAGAUUCACUGGAAGCUGGAAGGACAUCCUCUGGUGAACCCCUCCAGGAGGGAUGUGACCCACUUGGACAACUUUACAGGACUCUACAGCCUGACCAGCAACCUGACCAUCGAGCUGAGUAAGGAUGAAACACUGCAAUGUGUGGUGGAGAACACAGCCUUGGCCUCCAACCUCACCUCCAACUCCAGCUGCAAUCAAAAGUCUAAGGACCUAAGCCCUAGGACCAUGCCUCAGGACUACCUGGCAUGAUGACUCCUUGCUGUCCCCAGUCCACCUGGCCGUGCUGCUGCUCCUGCUGCUAUGGAACCCUGAUCUGUUCACCGGACGUGCUACCUGUCCCAGACAUUCUGUUUUCAACUCUCUAGAGACAGCAGGAGGGGUAGAGAUACUCUCAAUGAUCGUCUAUGAAAAGCCAACUGACAUUUACUCCUGAGGUGCUGACCUGUUGCACCCUCGACAACUACUGUCAUUAUUAUUAUUCGACCAUGUUGGUCAUUUAUGAAUAUUUGAACAUCUUGGCCAUGUUCUAUUAUAAUCUCCACCCAGCACAGCCAGAAGAGGACUGGCCACCCCUCAUAGCCUGGUUCCUCUCUAGGUUUCUUCCUAGGUUUUGGCCUUUCUAGGGAGUUUUUCCUAGCCACCGUGCUUCUACACCUGCAUUGCUUGCUGUUUGGGGUUUUAGGCUGGGUUUCUGUACAGCACUUUGUGGCAUCAGCUGAUGUAAGAAGGGCUAUAUAAAUACAUUUUUAUUUGAUUUUGAUUUUGAUUUGACACUGCAUUCUCGGAGUGCACGUCCUGGUAAUCCGUCUGGCCCUGUGGCCUUGUGUAUGUUGACCUGUUUAAAAUGGUCUUACUCACAUCGGCUACAGUGAGCGCGAUCACACAGUCGUCCAGAACAGCUGGUGCUCUCAUGCAUGCUUUGGUGUUGCUUGCCUCGAAAUGUGCAUAGAAGUAAUUUAGCUCAUCUGGUAAGCUUGUGUCGCUGGGCAGCUCGCGGCUGAGCUUCCCUUUGUAGACUGUAGUAGUUUGCAAGCCCUGCCACAUCCGACGAGCGUCGGAGUCGGUGUAGAACGAUUCAAUCUUAGUCCUGUAUUUACUCUUUGGCUGUUGCCAGGAUGGGAAAGAUUGAUGGGGGUGGGGGCCACAAAAAAACGGAACUCAUCAUGAGGGGCCAAAGUGGCUCUGUGGUCUGGUCAUGGGACUUGCAACCGCUUAUUCGACAAUUCUUACUACAAGUUUAGAUAACUGGCCGCUCAACAGCAAAAAUGUUUUAAUGAUAUGAGCUAAUUGAAAUACUUCUGAUGCACUAGCAAAUGUAUAAAUUGCACCUUGUGCAUUCUAUUAUUCUAACUUUCAACAGUAAGUUGCGAACCCGACUGAGUUCCUAAAUAUUUCUACACACACACACACACACACACACACACACACACACACACACACACACACACACACACACACACACACACACACACACACACACACACACACACACACACACACACGCAGUGCAAUCAGAAAGUAUUCAGACCCCUUGACUUUUUCCACAUUUUAUUACGUUACAGCCUUAUUCUAAAAUGGAUUAAAUAAAAUGUUGCAAAUGUAUAACAAAUAAAAAAUUGAAAUAUUCAGACCUUUUACUCAGUACUUUGUUGAAGCACCUUUGGCAGCGAUUACAGCC